CUUUACACACUUCAAAGGAAACAGCCUGGUCAGCUCCAGGCUCUUCGCUGACUUGAGUACCCUUACCUGGGUGUGGUCCUGUUUGGCACCGACUACACCGCUGGCAGCAAAUAGUGUCAGCAGCAUGACGUCAGGGAAUAGACACUGAAGUAAUAACAGGCAAAGAGAAGCAAUGUAUUGUAACUUUCUGAAAUGAUUCAGAAUAGUUAUUACUUAUAAAUACUUAUAGACAAAGGAUUUAAGGCACAUGAACAAAAUAAAAAUUGUUGUAUGUAUUGGACCUCAGUGUUUGGAAAUAGGCC